AUUGAACGCUGGCGGCAGGCUUUACACAUGCCAGUCGAGCGGUAACAGGCCGCAAGCUGCUGGAGUGAGCGGAACGGGGGAGUGAUACAUCUAAAAGUGUGCAUGGUAGUGGGGGAAAUAGUCGGGAGAGGAGCUAAAAUCCCGUACGAGCUAUGAGGGAGAACGGGGGGGCGUUACGCACCUCACGCUUUCAGCGGAGGCUAGGUCGGAUUAGAUAGUUGGUGGGGUAAAGGCCUACCAAGGCCACGAUCUGUCACUGGUCUGAGAGGAUGAACAGUCACACUGGAACUGAGACACGGCCCAGACUCCUACGGGAGGCAGCAGUGGGGAAUUUUGGACAAUGGGCGAAAGCCUGAUCCAGCAAUGCCGCGUGUAUGAAGAAGGUCUUCGGAUUGUAAAGCGCUUUUGUAUGGAAGGAAACGCAUUUGGUUAAUACCUUGCGGUAAUGACGGUACCGUCAGAAUAAGCACCGGCUAACUACGUG
rnacentral:rRNA from 1 species